CUCAGACAACACAUGAUCUCUACCUGCCACUUGCCUAAUUCUGUUGACAGAAACUGCUUUCAAUAUGACUGUUGAAAUUUAAAGUGUAAGCUGCUAUAUGAAGGGAUCCACAAGACGAAUAAUUAAGGGGGACCUCUGAUCAACAGCCAGCAAGGAACUGAAUCCCUCAGACCCACAACUCACAAGAAACUGAAGCUGAAGCAGAUUCUUCCUCAGUCAAGCUUCAGGUGCCCAGCUGUAUUGGUAGAGGAGACCAACCACACCCUCCACAGCACAGCACCUGGAGAGGAACUGCUGCCAUGACCAUAGAGGACACCCUCUGGAUACAAUGCCAGACUUGAUGUGGGACUGACCAACCUAUGGACCCCAGGCACCACCACCCAGACCUGCUCAGCACCUGAAACAUUCACAGCCGUGGAGAGAGAACUGUUCACUGCUACCAUCCACACUUCUGGGCCCCUUCAGCAGCAGGGUGACAAGGAAGAGGGAAAUCGACUUGGAAAAGAGGGGACCUCUGACCCAAGAGUUCGGUCAAUGCAUAUGUUGGCAGCCAGCUGCACAUCGCACCAAAUAUGAACUUCAAAUAGAAGAAAGCCUCAUUUGGAAGAAAGCUCAUGCACAGACUGUAAAUAUUUCAGAGCAGAUUGUGUCUCUGUAGAUUAAGUAAGUUGUGAAAGUC
rnacentral:lncRNA from 10 species